CAGCAGCCGCGGUAAUACCGGCGGCCCGAGUGGCGGCCACUAUUAUUGGGCUUAAAGCGUCCGUAGCCGGGUUGGUUAGUCUCCCGGGAAAUCUGGCCGCUUAACGGUCAGAAUUCCGGGAGAUACUGCCAGCCUAGGGACCGGGAGAGGCCGAGGGGAUUCCCGGAGUAGGGGUGAAAUCCUAUAAUCCCGGGAGGACCACCUGGGGCGAAGGCGCUCGGCUGGAACGGGUCCGACGGUGAGGGACGAAGGCCAGGGGAGCAAACCGGAUUAGAUACCCGGGUAGUCCUGGCUGUAAACGAUGCGGACUUUGUGUCGGACAAGCUAUGAGCUUGUCCGGUGCCGGAGGGAAACCGUUAAGUCCGCCGCCUGGGGAGUACGGCCGCAAGGCUGAAACUUAAAGGAAUUGGCGGG
rnacentral:rRNA from 1 species